rnacentral:rRNA from 1 species
UGGGGAAUUUUGGACAAUGGGGGCAACCCUGAUCCAGCCAUGCCGCGUGAGUGAAGAAGGCCUUCGGGUUGUAAAGCUCUUUCGGCCGGGAAGAAAUCGCGCCAGCUAAUAUCUGGUGUGGAUGACGGUACCGGAAGAAGAAGCACCGGCUAACUACGUGCC